rnacentral:rRNA from 1 species
GACGAACGCUGGCGGCGUGCUUAACACAUGCAAGUCGAACGGUGAAGCUCCAGUUGCCUGGUGCUGAUCAGUGGCGAACGGGUGAGUAACACGGGAGCAACGCGCUCCUGACUCUGGUAUAAGCGCUGGAAACGGCGUCUAAUACUGGAUACGAGAAUGUUCCGCAUGGGGAUUGUAUGGAAUGUUGUUGGGUGGGGGCUGGGCUCGCGGCCUGUCUGCUUGUGGGUGAGGUAAUGGCUCACCAAGGCGAGGAGGGGUGGCCGGCCUGGGAGGGCGACCGGCCACACUGGGACUGAGACACGGCCCAGACUCCUACGGGAGGAAGCAGUGGGGAAUAUUGAACAAGGGGCGAAGGCCUGAUGCAGCGACGCCGCGUGGGGGAUGACGGCCUUCGGUUUGUAACCCUCUUUCAGCAGGGAAGAAGCGAAAGUGACGGUACCUGCAGAAGAAGCACCGGCUAACUACGUG